rnacentral:lncRNA from 1 species
GUGGGAACCUUAGGGAAGAAUUCAAAACAGGGAGUUGGAGCAUGGUUCAAGUGACAGGCUUCAUUCAUGUGGGUCCGAGCGUGGGUUUGGGCGUGGGAGCUCACCGUGGAGUGCGGUCCUGGAAGAGUGGAUCCGAGUGGAGCGCGUGAACAGGGCGAGCGACGCGGUUUUCUUACGAUUGGGAUGCCGAUGCGACAUGAGAGCUGGAGAGCG